rnacentral:lncRNA from 1 species
GAGGGUGGCGGGCUUGAGGCGGGCAGGCUGCUUAGUUGCGGCCCGAGGCGCCUAAGUGGGGAUGACCAACCCGUGGGCGUUGGCGCUGACCCCUAGGCGCCGCUGGUGGCCCCGCGCGCGGCCCUCCGGCCAGCCCCGCCCCUCUCGGGGCUCCUCCUUGGUCCCCGCGCCAUGGCGCGUCCGCGUUGACCGCUGUCUUCCCUUUCGGGCUGUGCUGAUCGCGAACGCUGCGCAGUCCGUGGUGGCGUCGAGGCACCUUUCUCGUGCCUUUACCUGUGUUCACUCCUUUGCUUUAAAAAACAGCCCUAGAAGUACACAUCGUUGGCCCCGAAGGAGCCCCAGCAGCCAUGUCGGACCGCGAGGUGACCUUGGAGGGCGGGAGGACGGACGAGGGGCCUGGCGGAGCUAGACUGAGAGGGCGCCGCCGGCGUCCUGAAGGCCCUGCUCCCCGAAUGUGUGGGAGUGUGUCUGACGGUGCGAGGGUGGCUGUGGCGGGGCCUGAGCAGCGUGUCCGUGUCCCGAUGCCGCCCGCCUGUUACUGAGUUAGGCAGGAGUGCCCGAGUCUGGCGAACUUCAGCAGUUCUCGUUCCAGAGCUCCACACGAGGUUGGCCAAAGCUUUGCGGGACUUACAUACCCUUCUUCCUCCGCCCAGUCCUGCUUCCUUCCCCUUCCUUUCACGGGUGUUGAUACCAUGUCAACAUCCUCGUACCCCAAACUCAGUCGCAGCGUCUGCUUCUGGAGAAACCAUUCUGCAGCAUUAAAGCUGGUGAGAAGAUGGGAUUCGAGGCUGCAUCACUCACCAGUGGUGAAGUAGGAGGGUGAACUAGUGAAAUGGAAUCCACGAGUGGGUGAAGUAUCAGACAUUUCAUAUAUGGUGAACGUAGUAGAUAAAAGGAAGGAAAGGGGGAUUGGAUAGCUAUUGCUUAGUGCCAACCGAGACUCUUAAGAAUAGUGGUCAGCUGAAGGCAAGCAACAAACAGUUGUAAGCCAGUGAAUCUGUCCCGUUACAUAUAGAGAAGCUUCAUUUACUGCAGCAGGUCAAAGACAAGAACCAGGCCCAGGAAUUAACAUCCCUGUUUGACUGAACUCCAAAAAUAGCAAAACACCCAAACAAGGCAAUACUCUUCCACUAAGUUUGGAUCCCUGCUAAGAAAAGAUGAGGCUGGGCACAGUGGCUCACACCUGUAAUCCCAGCACUUUGGGAGGCCAAGGCGGGAAGAUUGCUUGAGUUCAGGAGUUCAAGACCAGCUUGGGCAACAUGACAAAACCCCAUCUCUACUGAAAACACAAAAAAUUAGCCGGGCAUGGUGGCCACGGCUGUGGUCCCAGCUGCUUGGGAGGCUAAGGUGGGUGGAUCACCUGAGCCCUGGAAGUCAGGGCUGUAGUGAGCUGUGACUGCACUCCAGCCUGGGCAACAGGAGUGAGACUCUGUCUUUUAAAAAAAAAAAAGAAAGAAAAGAAAAGCCCGUCAUACAUGGGUUGGAGAUACCUGGGUAGAUGCCUUCAAAGGUUUUGACUCCCCAAACUGCCUUAAACCUUUUUUUCGUAGACAGUGUCUCACUCUGUUGCCCAGGCUGGAGUGCAGUUGCUGGAUCAUGGCCCACUGUAGCCUCAACUUCCUGGGCUCAAACGAUCCUCCCACCUGAGCCUCCUAAGUAACUGGGACUACAGGUAUGUGUCACCACACCUGGAUACAUUUUUUAUUACUUGUAGAGGCAAGGUCUUGCUAUGUUGCCCGGGCUUGUCUCAAACUUCUAGGCUCCAGUGAGCCAUCACACCUGGCCUGCCUUGAACCUGAAGCCUGCCGGGGUGGCUCACCUCUCCUAUUAACCUGACACUACUCCUCCUCCCUCCACUUACUGCUCAGUAGAUGUAUAAUUAUGGUUGUUUCUUUUGCAUUAUUCAGCUGGAAACAAUGAGAUAGAAAAGAGAAUAUAGCUCCCUCCCCCUCAGAAGAACUGCGUUAUUAGUUUGCUGGGGCUUCAGUAACAAACUGGGCAGACAUUUAUUGUCUCCCAGUUCUGGAGGCUAGAAGUCUGAGAUCAAAGUUUUCACAGGGUUGGUUCCUUCUGGGGCUGGGAGGGAGAAUCUGUCUCAUGCCUCUCUCCCAGCUUCUGGUGGUUUGCUGGCAGUCUUUGGUUCCUUGGCUUAUAGAGGCAUUGUCCCAGUCCUGCCUUUAUAUUCACAUGGUGAUCUUGUUGUGUGUGUCUCUCCAGACGAAGGCAUAAGUAACAUCAUUGACAAAGGUCAUUCGACAUGGGCCUCUUUUUAGAAGGACACCAGUCAUACUGAUUAGGGCCCACUCUAAUGAGCGCAUCUUAACUUGUCUACAAAGACCCAUUUCCAAAUAAUGUCACAUUCACAUUGACCAGGGGUUAGGGCUUCAGCAUCUUUUGAGAGGGACACACUUCAGCCCAUAACAAGCUGUACCACCCAGCCAACAUGUACUGACAGGAGCUGGGAAAGUUUGGGGCUGGAUUAUGAGGGUGCUUGAUGAAGGGAGCUGGAAUGUAAACUUGCAUAGAUGUGUUUAUUGAAAUACGUGAUUUAACACCUUGGCAAAGAGUGGCUGCAGACUUCCUGCAAGGAUGGCUCCUAGAAUGGCGGUAUAGCUACUGCUGCCUAACAAAUUACUCCACACUUCGUGGCUUAAAACAAGAAUCAUUUCUUAUCUCUAGGUUACUGUGGGUCAGACAUAGUGGGGAUCGGUGAUCUCUCUAGGUUACUGUGGGUCAGACAUAGUGGGGAUUGGUUAUCUCUCUUCCACAGUGUCUGAGGCCUCAGCUGGAGCAGUUCAGAGGCUAGAGGUUGGAAUGAGUGAAGGUUCAUCUGCUCGAAUGUCUGACAGCUGAUACUGGAGAUUGGCUGCAGCCCAGAUUGGGGAUGUCAGCCAGCACACCCCUACACGGCCGGUCCCUGUGGCCGAGGCUUUCUCACAAUAUGAUGGCUGGAUUCCAAGGGCAAUCUAAAGACAAAGGACAAAAGAAAGCUCCAAUGAGGCUUACAGAGGUUCUGGGUUGUGCUGUGUUGCGGGAAGUCAGGGACCCCAAACCGAGGGACCGGCUGGAGCCGCGGCAGAGGGACAUAAAUUGUGAAGAUUUCAUGGACGUUUAUCACUUCCUAGUAAUACUCUUAUAAUUUCUUAUGCCUGUCUAAUCUCAAUCCUGUUAUCUUCGUAAGCUGAGGAUGUAUGUCACCUCAGGUCCACUGUGAUGAUUGCAUUAACUGUACAAAUCGAUUGUAAAACGUGCAUUUGACGAGGCCAGGAGAUCAAGACCAUCCUGGCUAACACAGUGAAAACCCGUCUCUACUAAAAAUACAAAAAAUCAGCCGGGUGUGGUGGCAGGCACCUGUAGUCCCAGCUACUCGGGAGGCUGAGGAAGGAGAAUGGCAUGAACCUGGGAGAUGGAGCUUGCAGUGAGCUGAGAUGGCGCCACUGCACUCCAGCCUGGGCGACAGAGUGAGACUCCAUCUCAAAAAACAAACAAACCAAAAAAAAAAAAAAACGUGUGUUUGAACAAUAAUGAAAUCAGUGCACCUUGAAAAUGAACAGAACAGCGAUUUUAGGGAACAAGGGAAGACAACCAUAAGGUCUGACUGCCUGUGGGUUCGGGCAAAAAGAGCCAUAUUUUUCUUCUUGCAGAGAGCCUAUAAACGGACGUGCAAGUAGGAGAGAUAUCGCUAAAUUCUUUUCCUAACAAGGAAUAUUAAGACCCUAGGAAAAUAAUUGCAUUCCUUGGGGGAGGUCUAUAAAUGCUUGCUCUGGGAGUGUCUGUCUUACGCAGUUGAGAUAAAGACUGAAAUACGCCCUGGUCUCCUGCAGUACCCUCAGGAUUGUUAGGGUGGGGGAAAAAACCACUCCCUGGUAAAUCUGAGGUCAGACUGGUUCUCUGCUCUUGAACCCUGUUUUCUGUUGUUUAAGAUGUUUAUCAAGACAAUACAUGCACAGCUGAACAUAGACCCUUACCAGGAGUUUUUGAUUUUGCCCUUUGCCUUGUGAUCUUUAUUGGCCUCAGAAGCACGUAAUCUUUGUUCUCCCUUUUGCCCUUUGAAGCAUGUGAUCUUUGUGACCUACUCCCUGUUCGUACACCCCCUCCCCUUUUGAAGUCCUUAAUAAAAACCUGCUGGUUGUGCGGCUCAGGUGGGCAUCACGGUCCUACCACUAUGUGAUGUCACCCCUGGCAGCCCAGCUCUAAACUUCCUCUUUGUACUCUAUUUCUCAGACUGGCCGACACUUAGGGAAAAUAGAAAGAACCUACGUUGAAAUAUUGGGGAUGGGUUCCCCCGAUAGUGCUGGGAGGGCAGCACGCCUGCAGUGGACACAGAAGCUCUGAGCCCCAUACCUGUCCUGCUCACCUCUUCCAUUUGGCUGUUCCUUUGUUGUACCCUGUAUAAUAAACUGGUAAUCCCAAGAAUAGUACUUUGCAUCAUUCUAGUAAAUUAUUAAACCUACAGGGGUGGGGCUGAAAACCCCACAAACUUAUAAAUUGGCUGGGCAGAAUUGCGGGUAGCCUGGAAACACCACUUGUGGCUGACGUCUGACGUGGAGACUGAGUCCUUAGCUUUUAGGGUCUGUGCUGACUCCAGGUAGUACCAGAAUUGAAGGACUUUAGGCCAGGCACUGUGGUUCACGCCUGUAAUCCCAGCACUUUGGGAGGCCAAGAUAGGAUCACUUGAGCCCAGGAAUUCGAGACCAGCCUGGGCAACAGGGAGACCCCCCAUCUCUACAAAAAUAAAUUAAUUAAAAAUGGAAGGACUUUGUCCUUAACUUGUGGGAACUGUGUCCAUUCUGACUCUAGGUAGUGUCAGAAUGGAACUGUAGGACAGGCAGCUCGUGUUAGAAAAGGAGACAAGCCUCCAGCAGGUCAGGGAGGCGGCAGCAGGCAGCAUGAACGGUAGCCCAGGCUCCCAUGCAGUUCUCCAGCUCUGCUGUCCCCCUGCAUCUAUCCAUUCCUAUUCUGCAUAUGAAUUUGCUUUUCCCGCCCAACACUCAUUUGCAGACUUCCCAAAUUCCUAAUUCAUCAUCGCUUCUAACCAGAAAACUCUUCUGAGAGCAAGUGUGGCUCUAAGCAUGUGGUUGUACGAUGCCCUCAUCUUACCCCAAACUCCUAUCAGUCAGAAGUAGCUUGCUUAGUGGAUGGUGGAAAGGCCUCCCGAAGGCUCAGUUAUGAUGCCAGAUUGGAGACAAUGCCCUGUCAAUAUGGAUGUUAUAAUACAGGAUGUGGUAUAGGCUUUAACUGAACAAUACCUAGUGCUACUUCUCCCACAGCCAGCAUAUGCUGGCUUGGAAACCUAAGGGCUGCAGAUAGGAAUGGCCCCUCUUACUGUUAUGCCAAGUAACCCCAGAAGGAAUUUUUGCUUCUCAUCUUGUAACUCUGAACUCCACUGUCCCAAGGGAGGACUGCUUCUACCAGGUACGACAAUGGUGGUAUUUUGAACUUUGAACUAGCAGUUGAGACUGCUGCCUGAGCCAACACCCAGGGAUGGAGUUACUGCACUAACUGGUGCUAUUGAUCCCAAUUUUUGAGGGAAACUGGGUGGCUCAUACACAAUGAAAACAGGAACAUCCUUAUCUGCAAUCUAGUGUCUUCACUGGCACCUUUUGGUACCGAGGACUUUCGGCUCAGUGCAGCCUCCGCCUCCUGGGUUCAAGUGAUCCUCCUGCCUCAGCCUCCCGAGUAGCUGGGAUUACAGGGGCCUGCCACCACACCCGGCUAAUUUUUGUAUUUUUAGUAGAGACCGGGUUUUGCCAUGUUGGUUAGGCUGGUCUCAAACUCCUGACCUUGUGAUCUGGCCACCUCGACCUCCCAAAGUGCUGGGAUUACAGGUGUGAGCCACCACACCCGGCUGACAGCUUCUUGGCUUCAAGCUAGAACAGGCUCCUCACAUUCAUGUCCCAUUGUCUUUGAUGAAACGAGGGCAGUUAACUGUAGAAUAGCCCAUGUUCAUCUUUUUCCUCAUGGUUUCAUUUAUUUUUCCUUCAAUAAACUAUAAGUUAGGGCUGGACACAGUGUCUUGAGCCUGUAUUCCCAGCACUUUGGGAGGCCAAGGCAGGAGGAUCACUUGAAGCUAGGGGUUCAAGACCAGUGUGGGCAACAGAGUGAAACUCCAUCUCUACUUAAAAAAAAAAAAAAACAAAAAACAACUAGCUCAAUGUGGCAGUGCGUGCCUGUACUCCCAGCUACUCGGGAGGCAGAGACAGUAGGAUUGCUUGAGCCAGGAGCUUGAAACCAGGCCGGGAAACAAAGUGAAACCUUGUCUCUAAAAGAAAUACGAAAAUUAGUGCCAGGCGUGGUGGUGCGCACCUGUAGUCCCAACUACUCGGGAGGCUAAGCAGGCGGAUCAUUUGGGCUUGGUAGGUCAAGGCUGCAGUGAGUUGUGAUUGUGCCACUGUACUCCAGCCUGGGUGACAGAGCGAGACCUUGUCUCUAAAAAUAAAAAAAUUAUACCCAUCUAGUACAUUUUUGGAUAAAGGGUCCUUGGCUAGGUAUUACUGUCUAGUCUAAGCGAGUAUGAGUGAAACAUAAAAAAGCACAGCCAGCCGGGCGUGGUGGCUCACACCUGUAAUCCCAACACUUUGGGAGGCCGAGGAGGAUGGAUCAUUUGAGGUCAGGAAUUCAAACCAGCCUGGCCAACAUGGUGAAACUCUGUCUCUACUAAAAAUACAAAAAUUAGCUGGGCCUGGUGGUGGGCGCCUGUAAUCCCAGCUACUCAGGAGGCUGAGGCAGGAGAGUUGCUUGAGCCCAGGAGGCGGCGGUUGCAGUGAGCCGAGAUUGCACCAUUGCACUCCAGCCUGGGUGACAGAGGGAGACUCCCAUCUCAAAAACAAAAAGCAUGGCCAUGAGAGGUGGAUACAUAGUGGCAGCAUCUUUAAAAAAAUAAGAAACCAAGUAAGAGUAAACAACAGUCAAGUGGCUAUUCAAGAAUGCUCCGGGUUCCACUGAAAAUUUUUGACUUACGAGUUUAACAUAAACUCUCUGCUCAAUUUUUUAGUCAGUGAGAAAGGCAAACUGAUAAAAUGGAUAAAAUGGAAAAAAAAAACAACACAAGGGCUAUUCACAAACAAAACAGUGAUUAA